UACAGGGGUGGCAAGCGUUGUUCGGAAUUACUGGGCGUAAAGGGCGCGUAGGCGGCCUCGCAAGUCCCGUGUGAAAUCCCUCGGCUCAACUGAGGAAUGGCACGGGAAACUGCGGGGCUUGAGUUCGGGAGAGGGAAGCGGAAUUCCGGGUGUAGCGGUGAAAUGCGUAGAUAUCGGGAGGAACACCAGUGGCGAAGGCGGCUUUCUGGUCUGCUCUUGACGCUGAGGCGCGAAAGCUAGGGUAGCAAACGGG
rnacentral:rRNA from 1 species